AACAUCAGUUCUCUUCAGGGAAUUCCAACAAGCUGGGUAUACCACAAACACCCAGAAAUACCCUUGUGCUGUCAGGCCUGGAAUGGGUAUUGCCAUCACAGUACUUGAACAUUCAGUUGCUCCAUCUCAGAUGUUUCCCAGUCCACAAAGCAAAACCACCUACCUUCCUGAUCCUUCUGGCCACGGAAGCAGACCUGGCCACAAGAUCUUCUGAAGUCUCAUCUCCUGGUUUCUGAGUCUGCUAUGAACUGCUUAAGACAGGAAUUUCUCAAUGACAAACUGUGGGCAAAGUGAUGACAUUCCUUGUGCCUAUCUUACUUGACUUGGAGGCAAAUCAUCAAGUUAGUGAUGCCAAGUGAGGAAGAUUCUGCUUAGUUGCUAUGACAAAACCAGAGAAAAAGA